rnacentral:rRNA from 1 species
UACGUAGGGUGCGAGCGUUAAUCGGAAUUACUGGGCGUAAAGCGGGCGCAGACGGUUACUUAAGCAGGAUGUGAAAUCCCCGGGCUCAACCUGGGAACUGCGUUCUGAACUGGGUGACUAGAGUAUGUCAGAGGGGGGUAGAAUUCCACGUGUAGCAGUGAAAUGCGUAGAGAUGUGGAGGAAUACCGAUGGCGAAGGCAGCCCCCUGGGAUAAUACUGACGUUCAUGCCCGAAAGCGUGGGGAGCAAACAGG